rnacentral:lncRNA from 1 species
AUGCUUCUGUUCAAAUUAACUUCAGCCGCACAGGAAUGUAUAGACCAUGGAAUAUACUUAUUAAUCUUCUGUAGUUCCACAGGUGAGUCAAGAUCAGAAGCUCUACAAGUGUGGUUUAUUCCCUAUGUGUGUGGCAAACAAACAAAAAGCCUCCAGAAAUGUGUAGCCCGGCAUCUUACUAAAGGACAGAAGGGUCUUUCAGGAAAUAUGUCUGAUUUCAUGCCCUCCCGCUGGCUCUCCAGUGAUUAUGAAGGAAACAAGGAGAUAGUCCUUGAUGUCUAUCUGAACAAGAACAGGGAUCAGGAGGAACUGCGCUUCAGAAACCUGGAAGAGAUUUUUAAUUAUCUGAAUGAUCUAGAUGAAGAGACAUGGCACCUUCACCUCGAAGGCCAUUCUAAGUCAGCACCAGGUAACUGUGCCCCACUUUUUAUCUGGAUAGGGGGUCCUCUGCCUGGGUCAAAGCCAGAUUAUAUAAAUGGAAAUAAAGAAAGACAAUGUUAUGUUUAUUUAGGUAACUCCACAUAGGUUUUUUAAAAGGAACAUAAAAACCACAGAGAAAAGAAGACAACAACAUACGGGGUGGGGGUGGGGGGAGACAAGCGAUCUCUUCCAGAAGUUUAAAGAAAUUCAAGAGAAACCCUAAUUAGGAAUGCUGAAUUCCUAAUGGAAGGACACUAUCUGACCAGGAGAGAAUGAAGGCGGAAACAAUAUAGAGAGAAGAAAUAAACGGAUGGCAGACUUCUUUGAAGUGGUAGCC